AAAAAAUAAAUGGAUUUAAGCAAUUAUUAUAGUCGUCGGCUAUAAAAGGUCCCAACAUGAAAAAUAAGAAUCAAUACCUUUCGAAUUUAACUGACGGCCUAUUUCAUAAUAAAACAAUUUACGAAAAAUAUAUAUGACAGACAUGAACCAACGACAACCACUAAACUACGAGCUCUUGACUUGAAACAGGUACAUAAAGAAUUUGGCAGGGUUAAAAUGUCUGUGUGCGCUCAUUUCUCCCCAAAACUAGCACAGCACAAGACCAAACU
rnacentral:lncRNA from 1 species